GACGAACGCUGGCGGCGUGCCUAAUACAUGCAAGUAGAACGCUGAAGGAGGAGCUUGCCCUUCUGGAUGAGUUGCGAACGGGUGAGUAACGCGUAGGUAACCUGCCUGGUAGCGGGGGAUAACUAUUGGAAACGACAGCUAAUACCGCAUAACAGUAGAUGUUGCAUGACAUUUACUUAAAAGGUGCAAUUGCAUCACUACCAGAUGGACCUGCGUUGUAUUAGCUAGUUGGUGGGGUAACGGCUCACCAAGGCGACGAUACAUAGCCGACCUGAGAGGGUGAUCGGCCACACUGGGACUGAGACACGGCCCAGACUCCUACGGGAGGCAGCAGUAGGGAAUCUUCGGCAAUGGACGGAAGUCUGACCGAGCAACGCCGCGUGAGUGAAGAAGGUUUUCGGAUCGUAAAGCUCUGUUGUAAGAGAAGAACGAGUGUGAGAGUGGAAAGUUCACACUGUGACGGUAUCUUACCAGAAAGGGACGGCUAACUACGUG
rnacentral:rRNA from 1 species